rnacentral:ncRNA from 2 species
AUCAUUAACUGAAUCCAUAGGUUAAUGAGGCGAACCGGGGGAACUGAAACAUCUAAGUACCCCGAGGAAAAGAAAUCAACCGAGAUUCCCCCAGUAGCGGCGAGCGAACGGGGAGGAGCCCAGAGCCUGAAUCAGCAUGUGUGUUAGUGGAAGCGUCUGGAAAGGCGCGCGAUACAGGGUGACAGCCCCGUACACAAAAGCGCAUGUGCUGUGAGCUCGAUGAGUAGGGCGGGACACGUGGUAUCCUGUCUGAAUAUGGGGGGACCAUCCUCCAAGGCUAAAUACUCCUGACUGACCGAUAGUGAACCAGUACCGUGAGGGAAAGGCGAAAAGAACCCCGGCGAGGGGAGUGAAAAAGAACCUGAAACCGUGUACGUACAAGCAGUGGG